GCGGCGUGCUUAACACAUGCAAGUCGAACGGAAAGGCCCUGCUUUUGUGGGGUGCUCGAGUGGCGAACGGGUGAGUAACACGUGAGUAACCUGCCCUUGACUUUGGGAUAACUUCAGGAAACUGGGGCUAAUACCGGAUAGGAGCUCCUGCUGCAUGGUGGGGGUUGGAAAGUUUCGGCGGUUGGGGAUGGACUCGCGGCUUAUCAGCUUGUUGGUGGGGUAGUGGCUUACCAAGGCUUUGACGGGUAGCCGGCCUGAGAGGGUGACCGGCCACAUUGGGACUGAGAUACGGCCCAGACUCCUACGGGAGGCAGCAGUGGGGAAUAUUGCACAAUGGGCGGAAGCCUGAUGCAGCAACGCCGCGUGCGGGAUGACGGCCUUCGGGUUGUAAACCGCUUUCGCCUGUGACGAAGCGUGAGUGACGGUAAUGGGUAAAGAAGCACCGGCUAACUACGUGCCAGCAGCCGCGGUGAUACGUAGGGUGCGAGCGUUGUCCGGAUUUAUUGGGCGUAAAGGGCUCGUAGGUGGUUGAUCGCGUCGGAAGUGUAAUCUUGGGGCUUAACCCUGAGCGUGCUUUCGAUACGGGUUGACUUGAGGAAGGUAGGGGAGAAUGGAAUUCCUGGUGGAGCGGUGGAAUGCGCAGAUAUCAGGAGGAACACCAGUGGCGAAGGCGGUUCUCUGGGCCUUUCCUGACGCUGAGGAGCGAAAGCGUGGGGAGCGAACAGGCUUAGAUACCCUGGUAGUCCACGCUGUAAACGGUGGGUACUAGGUGUGGGGUCCAUUCCACGGGUUCCGUGCCGUAGCUAACGCUUUAAGUACCCCGCCUGGGGAGUACGGCCGCAAGGCUAAAACUCAAAGGAAUUGACGGGGCCCCGUACAAGCGGCGGAGCAUGCGGAUUAAUUCGAUGCAACGCGUAGAACCUUACCUGGGUUUGACAUGGAUCGGGAGUGCUCAGAGAUGGGUGUGCCUCUUUUGGGGUCGGUUCACAGGUGGUGCAUGGCUGUCGUCAGCUCGUGUCGUGAGAUGUUGGGUUAAGUCCCGCAACGAGCGCAACCCUUGUUCACUGUUGCCAGCACGUUAUGGUGGGGACUCAGUGGAGACCGCCGGGGUCAACUCGGAGGAAGGUGGGGAUGACGUCAAGUCAUCAUGCCCCUUAUGUCCAGGGCUUCACGCAUGCUACAAUGGCUGGUACAGAGAGUGGCGAGCCUGUGAGGGUGAGCGAAUCUCGGAAAGCCGGUCUCAGUUCGGAUUGGGGUCAGCAACUCGACCUCAUGAAGUCGGAGUCGCUAGUAAUCGCAGAUCAGCAACGCUGCGGUGAAUACGUUCCCGGGGCUUGUACACACCGCCCGUCAAGUCAUGAAAGUUGGUAACACCCGAAGCCGGUGGCCUAACCGUUGUGGGGGAGCCGUCGAAGGUGGGACUGGUGAUU
rnacentral:rRNA from 1 species